rnacentral:misc_RNA from 1 species
AAUGCGAUAAGUAAUGUGAAUUGCAGAAUUCAGUGAAUCAUCGAAUCUUUGAACGCACAUUGCGCCCGCCAGUAUUCUGGCGGGCAUGCCUGUCCGAGCGUCAUUUCAACCAUCAAGCCCCCGGGCUUGUGUUGGGGACCUGCGGCUGCCCGCAGGCCCUGAAAACCAGUGGCGGGCUCGCCGUCACACCGAGCGUAGUAGCAAUCACCUCGCUCAGGGCGUGCUGCGGGUUCCGGCCGUUAAACAGCCUUACAAAACCCAAGGUUGACCUCGGAUCAGGUAGGAAGACCCGCUGAACUUAAGC